UACGAAGGGGGCUAGCGUUGCUCGGAAUCACUGGGCGUAAAGCGCACGUAGGCGGAUCUUUAAGUCAGGGGUGAAAUCCUGGAGCUCAACCUCGGAACUGCCUUUGAUACAGCAUAUCUUGAGUCCGAUAGAGGUGGGUGGAAUUCCUAGUGUAGAGGUGAAAUUCGUAGAUAUUAGGAAGAACACCGGUGGCGAAGGCGGCCCACUGGAUCGGUACUGACGCUGAGGUGCGAAAGCGUGGGGAGCAAACAGG
rnacentral:rRNA from 1 species